AGACUUUUUCUGGUUGUCUCCAGGCAGAAUCAAACAUUCACCUCUGCAAAUAGUUCAGUCGACAUUAUCUCUCAGCAUGGAGAGACCAGAAAUUUUGUUUUAGUAUGUAUUUAAGUUCGACAACAAAUAAUUUUAUGUACUGUGCUAUGUGUUUUGGAUUGUUUUUAUGCUGAUAUGGAAUCGUGUAUUAAUUAAUUCAUUGUCUAACCCGGAGGAAGGCAGCAGAGCACCGCCAAAACGUUGGAAAACCUUACUUAGACGAAAAUUUCCCAACUAGGGCGACAUCCCCAGGAAUUUUAGUAACUAACAAAAUUAUAUUUUUUGGAAGGGAUGAAAAAAUUGGAGCCAAAAGGAGAUUAUGUUGAGAAAAAAAACGUUUUUUGGCCGAAAAAACAUCUCGUUCACUCACUGACUCAUCAAACGACCCACUUCAUUAUGAACUUGAAUUUCAGCACUGACUUUCCCAACGUCUAAAAAUUCACUGGAUUUGUGCAUGCAAGCGAGUUAGACUUAAACCCGAAAUAUAAGCAAGUUCCGUUAGAUUUUUUCAUUAGAAACUUGAAACACGUUCUCAUAGUGAUGCACUCCAACAUCAAAGACAUUGGCUUAGAGGGAAGCGACUUCGCCUGGCCAUUUCCGAAUUGCGAACCGAAUAAGUCAAGUUAGUCUUGUACAACUUGCGUGCUAUUUCGGUCAAACGUAGAUAAUAGGUUUAUGUACUAACUAAUUUUCCUCGAGUUUAUAGUAUUUAGAGUUAGUCAAGAGUAGUUUUGCUGUUAUAUACAAACAACUUGAAAAUUUGUAUUGUAAAAGUGUAAUUUUUUCACGUGUUAUUUUCGUCAUCGUUUGUUUGAUGAGCUCCCCAACAUUCUAGUGUGUUUGAGGUUUUGGA
rnacentral:lncRNA from 1 species